rnacentral:rRNA from 1 species
UCUACGGGGGCAGCAGUGGGGAAUAUUGGACAAUGGGCGAAAGCCUGAUCCAGCCAUGCCGCGUGUGUGAAGAAGGCCUUCGGGUUGUAAAGCACUUUCAGUGGGGAAGAAAGCCUUGGGGCUAAUACCCUCGAGGAAGGACAUCACCCACAGAAGAAGCACCGGCUAACUCCGUGCCAGCAGCCGCGGUAAUACGGAGGGUGCGAGCGUUAAUCGGAAUUACUGGGCGUAAAGCGCGCGUAGGCGGUCUGAUAAGCCGGUUGUGAAAGCCCCGGGCUCAACCUGGGAACGGCAUCCGGAACUGUCAGGCUAGAGUGCAGGAGAGGAAGGUAGAAUUCCCGGUGUAGCGGUGAAAUGCGUAGAGAUCGGGAGGAAUACCAGUGGCGAAGGCGGCCUUCUGGACUGACACUGACGCUGAGGUGCGAAAGCGUGGGUAGCAAACAGGAUUAGAUACCCGGGUAGUC